rnacentral:lncRNA from 1 species
CAUGGUUUUUGUGAUCUUCCAGAAGCAGAAGAUCCUGUUCUGCCUGAACAUGCACUUGUGGCUGUCCUCCCGGUAACAUCUGGAAAUGGCUCAGAACCUGAAGGUGGGGACCACCUGAGAACCUGUACACCAGGUGGCCUAGGUCAUGCAUGAAGAGGCCGGCAGGGCUGGCAUGGCAGCAUUAAAGGAGACCCUCAGAGCCACUGGCUGGCACACAGGACCAGGGAGGACAGUCCUAAUAUCCCUGAUUACUUUCCAUGGCUCUGCCAAGCCCAGCUCCAGGUGCCUCUUUCUACCGCGCCCACUGAUCCAGACCCCAUCACAUGCGUCCCACUGGGCGCUGUACUGGUUGGACUUCAUUCUUCUGGUCUCUGCAGGAUAUUGCUGAAUGGUGGCCCCAAAGACAUGUGCAUAUCCCAGUGCCCAGAACCUUGGAAUGGGGCUUUAUUUGAAAAAAAAAAGGUCUUCAAUGAUGUUAUCAGAUUAAGGAUUCUAAAUUGAAGUCACCCUGAAUUAGUCACACAGGUCCUAAAUGCAAUGGUGAGUGUCCUUAUAGGAGUGGGGAGAGGGGCUGGUGCAUAACAGAGGAGGCCACUGGGCCACAGAGGCAGGAGAGAUACCAGGCGUGCUGCCUGGAGUUGGAAGGAACAGGAAGGGUCCUCCCUUGGCUCUCUGGAGGGAGUGCAGCCCUAAGGCACCUUGAUUUGGGCCUUCUGGCCUCUAAGUGUGAGAACACAUUCCUAUUGCCCUAAGUCACCCCAGCCUGUGAUCCUUUGUUACAACAGCCCCAGCAGACUUGGGUCUCCUGAGGGUUGAGGAGGAGCCUGAGGGACAGUGAGGUCAUGAGAGGUGCUUGAGAAUGCACAGUUCAGCACACACCUGAGCCAAGUUCCUUGUCUCCCUCUUUCCCAGUAAGAUGCCAGGCCAGUCAGGAGCCCAGUGGGCUCCCGGUCACCACUGUAGUUUGCCCUCCAGUAAGCUUCCAAGACACCCUGUCCUCUAGCUAACCUGGCUCCACUGUGGUUUCACAGGUCCACACCGUGACCUUCUCUUUGGCUCACAGGCACCCUUACCUAUGGUCACACACCUCCUACACUCAGCCAGCUCCAAAACCACGCAUAGCCCUCCUCUCCAACGGGCUUUUGGUUGCCUCUGUCUCUGUCUUCCCUCAGGACUCCAGGUUAAGGUCUAGGCCACAUGCAGCUAGACAGAGUCACACCUGCUCCUCUAUCAGACUUUCUCUGUGGAUACGCUUGACUAGAUUAUGACCGUACCACAGAAACGUAAGCAUUAACAAAAGUAUAUGCUAUUUUAAAUCAUUAGAUGUCCUGCAAAGCAUUCCUUCCUAUAGUCUCUGUGACAGAAUGCUAGUGCCCCUGCAACAGAGAGCUUUAUUUCCAUUUUACUGAUGAGCAAAUGGAAGCCUAGUGACUUUCUCAAGGUCAUAACCCAAGGUCAGCAGCAAAGGUAGGGUGGGAUCUUAAAAAAAUCUACUCAUUUGUUCCAUAAAAAAAUUAUGUAUAGAUAGUUCCUGAGGUACAACUUUUGACUUUAUAAUCAUGCAAACACAAUUUGUACUCAGUAGAAGUAAUACUUUGGGUACUGAGCUUUGAUCUUUUCCUGGGAUAGCCAUGUGUGGUCUGAUACUCUUAGUAUCUGGGGCAAGGAAGGAGGGCCAGGCAGCCUUCCAACAGCCCCUUCUCCAAAGCCAGCCUGAAGGCCAUCCAGAAAGCUGACUCCCAAAUCCCAAGGCCAUUCUGUAAAUGACCACUGAUUACUCAGUUGUCUGCCAGGGCCAUGACAAGACAACUCAGAUCCCCAGCUUCCCGAUGUCCUCGUAGAGAGACAAGGACGGAUCCCAAGAACACUAGGCUGUGAAAGGACUUUUCUACCAGCACAAAACAAGAUCACACUCUCCAGGCUGGUAAUUGUCCAGGUCCUGCCUUCCCUGCCUUCAGGCAGCAGUGAGGCUCCGAGGCCAGCGCUCUAGCUCUUUAAAGUAACGUUAACCAUAGUGUGGAGCUCAUCUGCUCUACCCAGGGCCACCGUCCUGACCUUAGCCCAAGCGUGGCCUCUGGUUUCCACAUCUGAACAGCACGGGUCCACCUGGCC